UAUUGAUCGGAGACAUGGCUGGAAAAACUGUCAGAAACAUGUAUUGGGAGCUGGAUGUUAGGGCCUGGAAAAAACAUGAACGGAAACUAAUGAGAGAAGAUCAGCAGAUCCCAACCGGUGGAUGAGAUUAAUCAGUCAAAGAUAUGAAAACCUCACUAUUGAAUGGACUCGCAGACGAUGUAGACAGCCCAUCCGAGAUGUGAUUAAUAUCAAAGGUAAUUCGACACUUUUGAGGAUAUUUUGUACACAAUUUCGAAGCCUUUGGACAGAGAUAAAUGAGGAUGAAAUCAGAGAUCUGGAAGAAAGAGCACAAGCUCUUGCGUUAGACAACUAAAGACACAGACAACAAUUAAACGAACAAAGAAGAGCUGCCAAAAAACAUGAGGUACAACAUUCGAUACAAUUACAAUCUUUCAAAAUGUUUAAAUAUUUUAAAUGCACAAAUAUUUAAAACUGUCAUUAGUUAAUUGUAGUCAUGUCAGACAAAUGUGAGUUGAGUGUCUGUUUGGUUUAUCUGUUUGUUACUUCCAUAUUAAAACUCUCUUUAAAAGUUGUGCUAACUGACCCCAAUGAAACACUGGUCAUGAAUGAACAAAAUGUAGGAAAUGUGUUUUGACACUGUGCUUGUUUGUUCUUUUAUUUCAUCUGUGUUUGUUAAUAUUUGAGAUAUACAACAAAUCAAGAUAACUGAAUAAACCAGACCAUCUCAUAACUUUAGCUGAAUUAAUAAAUUAUUACUUAAAUGAACUUACCUGAAAUAAACAGUUAAAUUAAAUGCUGAAUGAAAUGAAAACUCACAUCAGGUACUUGCAAGAAUACAAGUGCAAAUGCAAACUUUUUAAAUACACUAACUUACACUAACUUAGUGUAUGAAUAUACACUAUCAUUUAUGUGCGUGUAUGAGUUGUAUUUCAUCAUCUAAUCACAGCUGUUAUGUUAUCCUGAGAACAGAUUCAUGUUUAUUCUAUGAUAAUAGACAUACAAAAUCAUGAAGAUAACAGCAGUUUCUUUAAUCUCUUCCACACAGAGACCAUGUUUUCACCUGACAGGAGCUCAUGGAGACCACAAGAUCUGCAUCUUUUGACCAGAUUCGAUGGAGACCAAAUAUUAAUUUCUUGUAUUUCUUGUAUUUGUCUGUGAAUAUUUCCCAGGGUUUAUUGUCAAUUUCUGUAUGAACAAAAGUCUUGAUUAAAAAAUUAAAUUAAAAAAUAAAUCUAAUAGACAUUUUCAUUGUUACACACUUAACACACAUUAUACUCUUUUGUCACAUUGUAUGGGGUAAUUUGUAGCAAAUGAAGCUACCAUUUACUAAUGUAUGUCAGUGGGGGUUUACGGUGUUCAGUUGUUUACCAACAGCUAUUAGUAACUGCCUAUAACUAAAAUCACACACACACACACACACACACACACACACACACACACACACACACACACACACACACACACACACACACACACACACACUCACACAACAACUUCCUACAAAGUAACAUUGAGAAACUGUCCAGUCUCCAUAGAGACGCAGCUUUAAAUCCAUCAGACAGCGCCCUCUUCUGGACUGAGCUUGUCAUCAGACACAAAUCUGAAAGUAACAUUUUUGCAUUUGGCAGACGCUUUUAUCCAAAGCGACUUACAGUGCAUUCAGG
ensembl:lncRNA